AUUUCCUCAUUAAGGACAUCAGCCUCAACAUCAUGUUGUGGCCUGCCAUUCUCAGUCUACUAGUCAUGUGGUGCACAGGUUCAAACUCUCAGGAUGUGAUAUCUCAGCCACCAGCAGCAUCAGUGUCACCAGGAAACUCAGCAAAACUCUCCUGUGUCAUGAGCAGCGGGUCCAGCAUCAGUGGCUAUGCUGUGAUCUGGUUACAGCAGAAGUCUGGGAAUCCCCCAAGAUACCUCUUAUGGUAUAGCUCAGAUUCCAGCAAGCACCAGGGCUCUGGGGUCCCCUCUCGAUUCUCUGGCUCCAAAGACACGUCCAGCAACACCUGCUAUUUAAACAUCGCUGGAGCCCUGGCAGAAGAUGAGGCCAAUUACUACUGUGCAGUCUGGCACAACAGUGCUUGACACAGUGACUCAGUCAGAUG